CAUUUCUCCAUUAUCUCCCAACGCCCGUCUUGCCACCGAUAAUGAACCCCCAUUUACCGUCACAGAGCAAUCAGUUUUUCAGAAAUUGUUAGCACUAAAUCCAACCAAAGCAACUGGGCCACAUGGUAUUCCCUGCUGGCUUUUAAAAGAGAACGCCGAUAUUCUUGCACGACCAGUAAUGUCGAUUACAUAUAUACAUACUUAC